rnacentral:rRNA from 1 species
CAGUCGCCGCGGUAAUACGUAGGGUGCAAGCGUUAAUCGGAAUUACUGGGCGUAAAGCGUGCGCAGGCGGUCCGCUGAGACAGAUGUGAAAUCCCCGGGCUUAACCUGGGAACUGCAUUUGUGACUGGCGGGCUAGAGUAUGGCAGAGGGGGGUAGAAUUCCACGUGUAGCAGUGAAAUGCGUAGAGAUGUGGAGGAAUACCGAUGGCGAAGGCAGCCCCCUGGGCCAAUACUGACGCUCAUGCACGAAAGCGUGGGGAGCAAACAGGAUUAGAGACCCCUGUAGUCCCUGUCUCUUAUAC